rnacentral:rRNA from 1 species
GAUGAACGCUAGCUCCAGGCUUAACACAUGCAAGUCGAGGGGAAACGAUGAGAGAGCUUGCUCUCUUAGUCGUCGACCGGCGCACGGGUGAGUAACGCGUAUCCAACCUGCCUCUGACCAAGGGAUAACCCGUCGAAAGUCGGACUAAUACCUUAUGCAGUCGUCGGAAGUCAUCUGAUGACGACGAAAGAUUUCAUCGGUGAGAGAUGGGGAUGCGUCUGAUUAGCUUGUUGGCGGGGUAACGGCCCACCAAGGCGACGAUCAGUAGGGGUUCUGAGAGGAAGGUCCCCCACAUUGGAACUGAGACACGGUCCAAACUCCUACGGGAGGCAGCAGUGAGGAAUAUUGGUCAAUGGGCGUAAGCCUGAACCAGCCAAGUAGCGUGCAGGAUGACGGCCCUAUGGGUUGUAAACUGCUUUUAUGCGGGGAUAAAGUGAGGGACGUGUCCUUCAUUGCAGGUACCGCAUGAAUAAGGACCGGCUAAUUCCGUG